UACGAAGGGGGCUAGCGUUGUUCGGAAUCACUGGGCGUAAAGCGCACGUAGGCGGAUUUUUAAGUCAGGGGUGAAAUCCCGAGGCUCAACCUCGGAACUGCCUUUGAUACUGGAGAUCUUGAGUCCGGAAGAGGUAAGUGGAACUGCGAGUGUAGAGGUGAAAUUCGUAGAUAUUCGCAAGAACACCAGUGGCGAAGGCGGCUUACUGGUCCGGAACUGACGCUGAGGUGCGAAAGCGUGGGUAGCAAACAGG
rnacentral:rRNA from 1 species